rnacentral:rRNA from 1 species
UCAGGAUGAACGCUGGCGGUCUGCUUAACACAUGCAAGUCGAACGCAACCUUCGGGUUGAGUGGCGGACGGGUGAGUAACGCGUGAGAAUCUGCCUUGGGGUCGGGGACAACCACUGGAAACGGUGGCUAAUACCGGAUAAGCCUUUGGGUAAAAGAUUUAUUGCCCCAAGAGGAGCUCGCGUCUGAUUAGCUAGUUGGUGAGGUAAAAGCUCACCAAGGCAGCGAUCAGUAGCUGGUCUGAGAGGACGAUCAGCCACACUGGGACUGAGACACGGCCCAGACUCCUACGGGAGGCAGCAGUGGGGAAUUUUCCGCAAUGGGCGAAAGCCUGACGGAGCAAGACCGCGUGAGGGAGGAAGGCUCUUGGGUUGUAAACCUCUUUUCUCAGGGAAGAAGCUCUGACGGUACCUGAGGAAUCAGCCUCGGCUAACUCCGUGCCAGCAGCCGCGGUAAUACGGAGGAGGCAAGCGUUAUCCGGAAUUAUUGGGCGUAAAGCGUCCGCAGGUGGCGAUUCAAGUCUGCUGUCAAAGCACGGGGCUUAACUCCGUUAAGGCAGUGGAAACUGAAUAGCUAGAGUGCCGUAGGGGUAGAGGGAAUUCCCGGUGUAGCGGUGAAAUGCGUAGAGAUCGGGAAGAACAUCGGUGGCGAAAGCGCUCUACUGGACGGCAACUGACACUCAGGGACGAAAGCUAGGGGAGCGAAUGGGAUUAGAUACCCCAGUAGUCCUAGCUGUAAACGAUGGAUACUAGGUGUAGCUUGUAUCGACCCGAGCUGUGCCGAAGCUAACGCGUUAAGUAUCCCGCCUGGGGAGUACGCACGCAAGUGUGAAACUCAAAGGAAUUGACGGGGGCCCGCACAAGCGGUGGAGUAUAUGGUUUACUUCGAUGCAACG